CAGGGGAAACAAAGCUAGGCGUGCAUGCCAAUGUCCUUGUCAGUCUUGGAUCCUGGGCCUCCAAGGGCUCCGUUGUAGCCUUCAGUGUCCACAAAGCACUGGUGUGAGGUUGAGACAGGUGAAGAGCAGGCAGAGGGACUCAGUCUCGCCUCAGAUCCACAGCCUGCCCAGGAGGAAGCCUGAAGCACACUGUGGGUGAGGUCAGAUCUUGGCAGAGUAUCCGGAUGCCUCGCAAAGCCAGCUUCCCCAGCUGGGUCUGGAAUGGGGUCCACAGUGCCCCUCCAAAUAUGGUAGUUUUACUGGUUUUAUCCAAUCUUGGCAACCUCCAGAGCCCGUGCAGCCAAAUCUGUGGCUUUGAAUAUGAGAAUCACCUCAACCAGCAUUCUUUCCAAGGCAACGUGUGAAGAGGGUUGGGUGAGUCAGGAAAGCGUCUCUGUGACCUCUGUGAAGUAAAGGAUGGAUCCCAAAAGGAUUGUGAGAGCCUUGGAUUUGCAGCCAAAUCAGACAGAGGGGAAGAGCAGCCUGGAAAUGCACAGUUUCUUCCCAAAUCUAAGGAAGUCUGGCAAGACUGAGAGCCUUCUUGUUUCUUUGCAUCAUUUUAUUUUAUUUUAUUUUAUUUUAUUUUAUUUUAUUUUAUUUUAUUUUUGCUACUGUUGUUUUGGAGAUAAGGUCUCAAGUGGUCUAGGCUGGCUUUGAACUGGUUAUGUGGCCAAGGUUGACUCUGAACUCAUGAUAGAGGUGUAGAUAUCUUUGACUCCGUUUCCCAAGUGCUUAGAACACAGGUAUGCCCCAUUCCACUUGGCAAAGCCAAGAUUUACACUUGUGGGAUCUGAUGCUAUCACCAGGUAGAUGUUGUCAGACCUGAAUUGCAUUGUGGGACACCCAGCUGGUCACAGAAGAUUGAUGAAUGUGAAGAAUCUACAUCUGCCCACAAAAGAAUCCCGUGUUGGGAAGCCCAGGGAACAGAAACAGGCAUGGGGUCUCUUGCCUCUCAAGACACUAGGCUGGUGCUCUCUAGAGACCCAUGGGGGAGUAGCAUCUGUCCGGAGACCUUGAAGCCGCAUUCCAUCAAAGAUUCUCUAAAACAGUAAGUCCAAUACAGGAGCCACCAGCUGGCAAUCACUUGACACAUGGCCACUGGAUGUGCUAAAUGUAAAAAGUGCACAUGCUUUGAAGGACAUGUGGAAUGAAACAUUCGAAGCAGCUCCGUAAUAAUUGUUUUUAACAUCGAUUAUGCUAAACUGGUAAUAUUCUUCUUUUACUAGUUAAAUAUAUUGUUUACAUUAUUCUUAUUGUAAAAUACAUAUGGUGUAAGCUUA
rnacentral:lncRNA from 1 species